rnacentral:lncRNA from 1 species
CACUUGGGGCACUAGGCACUCAAGCUUCAUGAAGACUUUCUACAUCAAAGAGGUAUGUAUUCUAUCUUGUUAUAGUCAUUGUUUUGUAUGCUAGAUUAGGAUAAUACCUUGGAAGUUCUUAUUUGCAUGUAUAAUAGAGAAAACAUAGAUCCAAGGUAUUUAGGGUUGCAUGUACACUUAGGAGUGUUAGAAUGCUCAAAACCCAACAGUGGUAUCAGAGCCUAGGCUUGUUUUCUUGUUAUACCUGCAAUAGAAGCUGAAAAAACGAAUCUGGUGCUGUCUGGCCAUCAGACUCGGCGAGUCCAUCAGGAGACUCGACGAGUCCAUGCCUAAAAAGUGAUGAAUUCGAUCCAACUCGCCGAGUUUGUUCAUGCACUCGACGAGUUGGACCCCCAGACAGCAUAUUUUCGAGUUUUUUGGCUAGAAAUGGACUAGGAACAUUACCCUAAGUUGUUUUUGAACUUAUAAACUUGUUUUUGAUGUGGUAAUGUUCAUGCUAAUCCAUUUUCAAAGAUAAUUGUCAAUAGAUUCAUGUUUUGUAUUAGUUUAAGGUUUAGACUAAUUACAUGAAAAAGUUUGAUUUGAAUUAUCUUGUUCUUAUGAGUUGCUUAGAUUAAUAGAAAUGUUGAGUGAAAUAGUUGUUUUCAAUCCAUUUUAAUCUAAGAGUUGAGUAUAAAAUGUGUUUGUGUAACUUGUCCUCAAGUUACAUGAAGAGUCACAUUAAAGACUCAUAAAACUCAUAAAAGUUGGCAAUGGUUACAAAAUGAAGAGUCUUGUGUCAUUGAAUAAUUUUUUUUGACUCCAUAACUUGUCCUCAAGUUAUGGAAGUUCAAGAGUCACUUCAUUAAAGAAAAAUAUGUAACCAUAAUUAAAUCCAUAAGUUAUAAAAUAAAGAAAAAGUUAGUUCUUUUAUUAGUUUAAAGUCUUCCAUAACUUGUCCUCAAGUUAUGGAACUUGAAGAGUUUUUGGAUUAAAACUACUUUAAACACAUAAGUUAUGGAAUUAAUUAGUUUUGAAUAGUUUCAAAACUUGCCCUCAAGUUUUGGAAUUUGAAAAGUUUUCAAGUAUGAAUACUUUAAUUCCAAGUUAGCCCUUAGAAUUUUAAAAGUUAAAAUUCAACCCUUAUACUUUAUAAUAUUAUAAGUUAAUAAUAUAUAUAUGUAUAAGAGUAAAGUCAGUCUUACCGCUAGUACGCCUCAUUCACGAAGCCGGUCUAUAAGGUGGGUAUAAGGUUGUUGCCUAUAAAAUGGCAACUUAAUGGGUGUCCACUCUCACCCACCGCUUGCUUGACUGGUGGAGGGUCGUUAGCCGAACGGGUUUGACAGGACUAGAAUUCUCCCUUCAUUAAAAGUAUUAAUGAUAAUACUAAGUAACUAAACUCUUAAUAAUACCCAAUCUUAGUUACUUAGGAAAAAUGUGAAUAAGGUGCUAAUCCAUGAAAUUACACUUUACACUUUGUCUAAGUCGUUAGUGGAGCGUGUGUGGUUAACCGGCACACUAACUUGGACUUAACAAGGUAGGUAAAGGGUGACUUAAUAUUUAUCAUAGUAUCGAUGGAGCGUGUGUGGUUAACCGGCACAUCGAUUGAGGGGUAAUUUAUUAAGGGUACCAAGUGAUUUGCAUGGUUACUUCACACCUUGUUUUGUGAUCCUCGGCAUCCCAGUCACAAAACCUGAAGGGCACACUCGAGAUUGAAACAUGCCUUUGAAAAGUUCAAUGAAUCUCAAAGAUCUAGGAGUUUCAAAACCAAUUAAAACCUAAUAAUACAUUUCGUUUAUCUUGGUGGAAAUUGGUGAAUCGUCAUUCACCUACCUUCAAAUAUUUUAUAGCUUGGAUUACGGCAUACCUCUUCUAAGUUAUAAAAUAGUUUGUUGGGUCCUAGCCUUAAUAUUUCAUAUUGGGUGUCAUAUUAAGGACUUUAAAUCAACUAUCUUGAAUAUCUCCCAAAAGAUGUCUGGUUUAGACACCUAUGAUCUUCCCAAAUCUCUUGAAACAAGGUUUCCUAAUGAAGAUGAUGUCCCAUGGAUAUCAUACUUCUUCACCUCUUCAAAUUAUUCUCCCUAACCCACAAGUUCUUGAAAAGUUUAAGGUCACUCAGGCCCUAUUAGCAAGGCAAGGUCUAGGUGUGGUCACAUCUUGGAGAUGUAGUCACAUAUUGACAAGCCGGGAGAGUUGGGUGUCAAAGUCUUGAGAAAGUUGGUGGUUCAACCACUUUCUAAGUCACAUAGUGAGUUCCUUUGGGACACCUAUGAAACAGACUAUGACAAGACCCUUAAUGAUCUUAUCUAUUUGCUAAGAUCAACUUCCUAAAACUUUAUGGACAUUGACAAUGAUGACAUUGGAUAUCCAGUAAAGCAUUCUCUUCCCAAUGGAAAGGGAUCGGCCAUAGUCAACUCGGUUGACCAAAUGGUAAAGAGAAAAGCUAAGUCUGUGAUAGUCCCGUGUACCAUUAUCAAAGGGUCCAUAUGUUUAUAUUGCCAAAGGAAGGGGCAUUGGUUGCGAAGCUGCCAAAUUUACCUAAGGAUGUUAAAGUCAAUAAGUUUGACUCUACUUCAGGUAAAGUCCACUAUCUAACUCUGUUAAGUUUCUAUUCUGAGAUUCUUGAUACAUGAUGUGACUGGGUCACAUGGUGAUGUUUUAAGAAUCAAAGAAAAGUGAAGAAACUUAAAGAAAGAAUAUGCUGAAUCUGAUGGCGUAGAUGGAUUUCUAUCGCAUAGUUUGAAGAUCGGAUUCUUGAGCUACUUCUUAGGAGUUAUGAGAUAUUGCUUAGGAAUAGAUAACAACAAGUUUUCAUAUGGAUUGUAAGGAUAAGUUUUUCCGCAAAGUUUUAAAAUAAAAGAAAAUUUUUUUGAUUUUAUUUAUUUUAAAAUAUCCUUACAAUGGCUUUUGAGGAAAAAUUGUUGCUUAUAUGAUUCCAUUAAGAGCAAGAGUGGAAAUAUGAAAUUGAUUCUUUCAUUUGUGGUAAUGUCUAGAUUUACCAAAUAAGGAAAGAUUCUCAUCACCCAAGUUUCAAUUGGACCGGAACUUGGAAUCAUGCAAGUUGUAUAGCAUGAUGAAUGAGAACUUUCAAGUUUUGGAAAAUUAAGACUAAUUACUUGUUCACAUGGAUGUGUGAGUCAAGUAAAGGACUAAGGGAUCGAGUACACAUUCUUGUGCACUGAUUAAGUCCACCACUAAAGAUCGAUAAGAAGAAUCAAAUAAGGCAGAAGGAUAAAAGUUUCUCAAAUCUGAAAAGAUGGGAGAGUACUUUAGUAUCAGUUUUGUGAUCAUCUUAAUGAUUAAGAAACCAUAUCAAAAUUAGUUCUCUAAGGAAAUCUUAGUGCAUUCUUAUGACUAAGAAGAGGAACUUGAAUUGUUGAAAUGGUUAAAUCAAGAAGAUGAGUCAUACUUCGUUCCAAUACAAGUCUUAGAGUCAUACUCCAAGAUUGUCAUUUGAGUGACAUGUCUUAAAGAAGGUUUAAAACACUUGUCAAAUGUAAGAGUAAAAGUUUUCUACUCUUGUACAUUUGAAAUUGGUAAGUUGUGAUGUUUUGGAUAAAACAAAGACCAACUUAGGCCAAUUGGGUAAAGUGUUUUUCUUGAUUAGAAUCCGCACUAUCUCUUGGAUGUUUGACAAGGGAGUCUUAUAUGUCAAGAGGACAGUGGGAGUCUUAAAGGUCUUGAAAGUCUCAAGAAAUAAUCAAGAAUAAAACCUAAAGUUCUUCACUAGCACACGACUUGAGGUUUAUAACCUAUCGUGUUGACAUAUCUGUGCCCAUUCCAGUUAAAGUUGGCUUUGCAUAUGAGUUCUUAGAGUUCUCAGUUUGUUGCAUAACAACUUGGAAGCAAUGGCAGGCCCUUGAGCUGCCAGGUGGCAAGAAGUUAAGAUUGAGUUCAAUCCAUAUGGUUUUGGAUUUGUCAUUAUCUUUGUCUUGUGAUUAUGGUUUGACAAAUUCAUAUGGGUAGGAACUCAUACACCAUAUAAAUCUAAGUGUCAUAAGGUUUCUCUCCGAUUCAUGAAAAUGAUGGUGAGGAAACGCUUUCACUAAGUAGAUUUUACGAAGAUAUCAAUUGUGUUAUUUGCAUUUUCAAAAGUCGUUAGUGGAGCGCGUGUGGUUAACCGGCACACUAACAUGGACUUGUGAGAAAUGGCAAAUGCCUAAGCAAUUGAGACCAUGAUUACGGUAUCCCUUUUCAUGGUUCUUGAAAUUGCUUAGACACACAGGUGAGCUAUCUACGGAAAGGGUGUAUGAAUCUAAAUUUCAGACUGUCCAGCUGAUUUCUGAGUACAUGUCAAAGCUAGUGGGAGCAUAAGUGUUAUGCUAAUAAUCAUCAUGUUAGUGGGAGCAUGAUAAUUAUGAUAAGUAUUGCAAGUUAGCAAUGUUAAUUAUAGAAAACAAAAGUUUCAAUUGGGAAAAAGUUGUUUUGCUAUAAUUAAGGGAGAGGAAAUUAUGCUUCAUCUCAAAUCUAUAAGCUUAGAUCGUGAGGUUUUAAUCAUUUAGUCAAGGAUAUAUAUGAAUUUCAUGUUGGAAUGGCUCAACAUAAGGAAAUUCUGUAUAUGGGUCCAUUAUUUGCGUUCUAAAAUUCGAUUAUGAUUACGGCAUCCCUUUUCAUAAUCUGAAUUAUGAGAACUUGGCAAAUUGAAAUGGAAAUAUUAUAGCAAAAGACUGGUUUAGUCUUUAUGUAAGACAUCAUGAAUCGUGUCCCAUAUGCUUCGGAUAUAGGAUCGAUUACAUGUGCUAUAUUCAUCCGUUCUAAAAUUUUCCAAAUGCCUGGGGCAUUAAGAAGGGAAAAGGUUUAGAACUGGAUAUGACUAAAAGGAUUAAACAAUUGUCGAGGACAAUCUAAGGUUUACCAAAGAUUGGUUACUCAAGGACAAUUGGAAGUAUAGUGAUAAUUCUGGAAGGACCAUAUUGACAUAAUCUGUAAGGAGGCAACUCUUGUUCAGAAGUGAUAGUCAAAAUGGAAUCUGGAAAUGUUUAAAAGUUAGAAUUUUCAAUCUGUUUAAGAUUAGGAAACUUAAUGCGAGAAAGAUGUUUCCAAGGAGCUGAUAUCCUUUGGAAUACUCUAUAAUGAUUAUUGUCAAGUCUUUCUGAUUUUGUGCAUAAUCAUUACAAGUGGAUCAAUGCAUAUAAGUUUAGAAUCUAAUAGAUUUCAGUAAAUGACAUGAAUUUGGAAUUCUUGCAUUUGCAGUAAGGAUUUGGGAGUGUGAAAAGAGAAUCAUUGAAGUUAUGUUCAAUUGAUCUAGUUCACAAAGUAAAGAUCAUAGACAAACAUAGUAUGCAUACUUGGUGUGUGGCAUGACUAGUGUUUAGAAAACAUAGUGUACAUGCUUGGAGCAUGGGACAACUAUUGUUUUAAAUUCAAGAAUAAAGAUGAUAGCUGAAACAAUAUACAAUGAAUAAUGUGUAAUCAUAUGGUGAUAAAUAAAAGGUGUUUUAUUUAUGUUCAUAGGUUUUGAUACCAUAUUGGAUUCAAUUAUUAUUUCAUUUUGCAUGUUAUGUUUUGACUUCCCGAAUAAACUAGGUUAUUCUUCCGGAAUGACUAAGUUAUUCAAACCAUCCACAGUCGGUCAUAUGUUGGAAGUAGAUAUGAAUUAAGACUGUCAUGGGUUGGCUUGUAGAGGUCUAAGGUGUUGGACAAAGGGCUACAACACUCAUGAGUGCUCAUAAGUUCUGAGUAUUGGAUUCAACCCACGCUCAUUGGAAUCACUUCAUUGAUUUUAUCACGAGUGAUCAUGAGACAAUAAUAUCUUAUAUUCUUCAAACCUAGAGAUAUGAGUUGUUACUAUGAGUUGAUAGUACAUUGAUUGCACGAAAACGCAUUUGGUAACUCGGUGCUAUAAAACGUGCCUUUGUGUAUGAUUCAACAAGUAGUAGAACAAGCCAUAUGAGUCGAAGUUUAUCCGUUCCUUUUACCUUCGGGAUAAAAGCGAUAUCUGUGGGCCCCUCGAUGAUUUGAUGAUGACAAAUGGAAGUGCUCGGCCGGGCCAGGACUGAUUUGAUUUGUUCAAUUAGUCAGUCGUCAUAAAUCGGAAAUCGGGAAACAACAAAUGGACAGAGAGAAUGAUUAUAAUCCAUGUCUCAGUCCAUAUGAUAUCUAGAAUGGAGGAAUAUAUGAUCCCUUAUCUAAUGGACAAGUCAUUGACAAAGGUCAGAGUUCAUCUACAAGGUCAGAGUUCGACAGAAGCUUUUGAGAGCUACGAUUGCCAGUUGGUUCCUGAAGUCAUACGCAAUAAUAGUUUUAGACUUAUCCAAGUGGGAGACUGUUGGAUUAAUGUCUAAGUCCAUAACUAUAAUUGGUAACACUUGACCCGACCCGGCAUGGUCCAUUUGGGUUGCAUGGCAUCAUGCAUUUGGAUAGACUAUAAUGAGAGAAAUAAGACACUUAUGGUUAUUAAUAUAUUAUAAGUUUUAGUAUAUUAAUAAUAAGAAUAAUAAGAUUAUUUAAUUAGUAUUGAUCAAGAAUUAAUCUAGGAUUAAUUAAGUGAUCAAAAGAAGACUAAUUAAAUAUAUGGGUUGAUUGUGUAAAUCAUCCAUACUUGUAUAGUGGGCUAAUGCUCCAUGGAUAAUCAAGUUGGGCUAAAACCCAUAGGAUGGUCCAUGGAUGCUCCAUGGUGUAUUUGAACCCAUGGAUCCAAGGAAAUGGAAAGCCAUGACAAUUAAGAGUUUACCCUAAUUGUAACACUAUAUAAAGAUCACAUUCUUGGGAAAAAUCGGCCACUAGAGAGAGUAAGAAAGGGCUAGCCGAUUUUCAUGAAGUGUAGAAUUCUCUCAAGUUAAUCCAAGUGUAUUUGGUGUUGUGUGAACCAUUUGAGGUGUCACACUUGGGGCACUUGGCACUCAAGCUUCAUGAAGACUUUCUACACCAAAGAGGUAUGUAUUCUAUCUUGUUACACUCAUUGUUUUGUAUGCUAGAUUAGGAUAAUACCUUGGAAGUUCUUAUUUGCAUGUAUAAUAGAGAAAAGAUAGAUCCAAGGUAUUUAGGGUUGCAUGUACACUUAGGAGUGUUAGAAUGCUCAUAACCCAACACCCAAUUAGUGUGCCAGUUAACCACACACGCUCCACUAACGUGUUAGCAAGGGUACAAAGUGUAAUUUCAUAGAAUUGCAUCAAUUCAGUUUUUCCUAAAGUAACUAAGAUUGGGAACUUUGUAAAACAUUUAGUUACUUUUAUAAUUUCAUUAUACUUUUAAUGAGGAAAGGGUUACCCUAUCCUACCCGUUCGGCUAACGACCCUCAACAAUCAAGGAAGCGGUGGGUGAGAGUGUACACCCAUUAAACGGCCAUUUUAUAGGCCAUAACCUUAUACCCCUGUUACAGACCGGCUUCCUGAAUGAGGCCUACUGUGACAACCACAAAUUUCAAGCCAAUGUGACAAAUUCCAGUCGAACCUUGUACACCAUUUUAAGUUAAUAAAACAUCUUCGAAAAUAAAAUGUUCAAAAGUUUCAAUUGGGUUGUCUAAAUGAUAGAUAUCGUUUGAAGGGUUUCAGAAAUAUGAAGAACACUAAAAACCGACUUAUAACAAAAAAGUUAUGACCAAUCUAAGAAUCGCGGCAAAAACCGACAAUGCUAGUAAAUGUAAAACGCAAAGUUUCAAUACAAUAAUUAUUAGCCUUAGGUGUCUAAACAAAAGUCAUAGAUUACGUUAAACUGUGAGCAUGCAUAAAAAGAACGCCCAAAUCUGACUUCGCAUGAGGAAGUUAUGAUUUUUCUAAGUUCUGAGGUGGCGGUAGACAGCUAAAAACUCGAAACAGUGAUCGAGUGAUUUGUGGCCGACACAACCUAAACGAGACUCGAAGAUCUCUUCAAAGGUAGCACAACGGUAAAAAUUCUGACAAAAACGGACGUCGGAUGAAGAAGUUAUGGAUUUUAAACAAACUUUUCGUGUCCCGACCUAUUAAAAAUAUAUAAUUAAAAAUAAGUUCAAGAUUUGCCAACGAAGUCUAAACGAAAGUUGUAGAGUACGUUCUCACCUACGCGAGCAUAUUAAGAACGUCAAAAACGGAGGUCGUAUGCGAAAGUUACAGUUUCUACAAGUUCGAGGCACACAAAUAAAGAUGAUUUACGCCCAGCGUACCCUUGUACGCCCAACGUACUCGGGUGCUAGGCCUCGGUUCGUCCACGUCAC